AGAAUCAACGCUGGCGGCGUGCCUAACACAUGCAAGUCGAACGCGAAAGGGGAGCAAUCCCCGAGUAGAGUGGCAAACGGGUGAGUAACACGUGGGUGACCUGCCUUCGAGUGGGGGAUAACGUCCCGAAAGGGACGCUAAUACCGCAUGACAUCCUGCUCUUGGAAGAGCGGAGAUCAAAGCUGGGGAUCGCAAGACCUGGCGCUUGAAGAGGGGCCCGCGCCUGAUUAGCUAGUUGGUGGGGUAACGGCUCACCAAGGCGACGAUCAGUAUCCGGCCUGAGAGGGCGGACGGACACACUGGGACUGAGACACGGCCCAGACUCCUACGGGAGGCAGCAGUGGGGAAUUGUUCGCAAUGGGCGCAAGCCUGACGACGCAACGCCGCGUGGAGGACGAAGAUCUUCGGCGUAAACUCCUAGUCGAGUGGAAGAAGGCUCCGCAGUUGAAUAUGCUGCGAAUUGACGGUACCGACGUUAAAACGGAAGACCCCGGACUAACCGUCCGUCGACCGAACG
rnacentral:rRNA from 1 species